rnacentral:rRNA from 1 species
UACGUAGGUGGCAAGCGUUGUCCGGAUUUACUGGGCGUAAAGAGCGCGCAGGCGGUUCGUUAAGUGGGAUGUGAAAUCCCCGGGCUUAACCUGGGAAUUGCAUUUCAAACUGGCCGACUAGAGUACGGUAGAGGGAGGUAGAAUUUCCUGUGUAGCGGUGAAAUGCGUAGAUAUAGGAAGGAAUACCAGUGGCGAAGGCGGCCUCCUGGAUCGAUACUGACGCUGAGGCGCGAAAGCGUGGGGAGCAAACAGG